rnacentral:rRNA from 1 species
AAUCAACGCUGGCGGCGUGCCUCAGACAUGCAAGUCGAACGAUUAAAGCUCUCUUCGGAGAGUGUAUAGAGUGGCGCACGGGUGAGUAACACGUAAGUAAUCUACCCUCGAGUGGGGAAUAACAACCGGAAACGGUUGCUAAUACCGCAUAAUGCAGCGGCACCGCAAGGUGACAGUUGUUAAGGAUUUAUCGCUUGAGGAGGAGCUUGCGGCAGAUUAGCUAGUUGGUAGGGUAACGGCUUACCAAGGCUACGAUCUGUAACCGGUCUAAGAGGACGGUCGGUCACACUGACACUGAAUAACGGGUCAGACUCCUACGGGAGGCAGCAGUCGGGAAUUUUGGGCAAUGGGCGAAAGCCUGACCCAGCAACGCCGCGUGAAGGAUGAAGUAUUUCGGUAUGUAAACUUCGAAAGAAUAGGAAGAAUUAAUGACGGUACUAUUUAUAAGGUCCGGCUAACUACGUGCCAGCAGCCGCGGUAAU